GAGAAGGAUGUCUAUGAGGCUCAAAUCCUGUCAUGAAUCUCAAAGAACUGGCUCAAUAAAUAAAAAGAUCAUGGCAGCCGAGGUUGCAGGAACUGCUGCAAGUAGCUAACCUGCAUUUUGAAAAGGCUCCAUGACGCUCUCUGCAACUUGGAACUGAAAGGAGCUCAAGCUGUCAGGGAGCCGGUGUUCUCCGUCAAGGGGCUGGACACUGAAUCCAGAAUCUCACACAUGCCAGGAACCUGAAGAAGCCAGAAAAUGGUGCUGGAUCCCUUGGAGUUGGAGUUACAGACAGUUGUGGCCUGCCAAACAUGGAUGCUGGAAACUGAACUCUGGCCCUCUGCAAGAGCAGCAAGCGCUCUUAACCACUGAGCCAUCUCUAGAAACUCCCAGCAUUAAAAAUU